GUUCGAAGGUUACCUAGGUACGGUCGGAAAUCGUGCUGAUAGUGCAAUGGCAAAAGGUAGCUUAACUGCGAGACCGACACGUCGAGCAGGUGCGAAAGCAGGACAUAGUGAUCCGGUGGUUCUGAAUGGAAGGGCCAUCGCUCAACGGAUAAAAGGUACUCCGGGGAUAACAGGCUGAUACCGCCCAAGAGUUCAUAUCGACGGCGGUGUUUGGCACCUCGAUGUCGGCUCAUCACAUCCUGGGGCUGAAGUAGGUCCCAAGGGUAUGGCUGUUCGCCAUUUAAAGUGGUACGCGAGCUGGGUUUAGAACGUCGUGAGACAGUUCGGUCCCUA
rnacentral:rRNA from 1 species